rfam:Zootermopsis nevadensis contig3972, whole genome shotgun sequence.
GCCCAAUUAGCUCAGUCGGUAAAGUAUGAGAUUCUUAAUCUCAGGUUCGUGGGUUCGAGCCUCACGCCAGGCG